rnacentral:rRNA from 1 species
UGCAAGUCGAGCGAUCGAUGGGAGCUUGCUCCCUGAGAUUAGCGGCGGACGGGUGAGUAACACGUGGGCAACCUGCCUAUAAGACUGGGAUAACUUCGGGAAACCGGAGCUAAUACCGGAUACGUUCUUUUCUCGCAUGAGAGAAGAUGGAAAGACGGUUUACGCUGUCACUUAUAGAUGGGCCCGCGGCGCAUUAACUAGUUGGUGCAGGUACAUGUUGCUCAGUUCCAAGGCGACGAUGCGUAGCGCGAUCCUGAGAGGGUGAUUCGGUCCACACUGGGACUGACACACGGCCCAGACUCCUACGGGAGGCAGCAGUAGGGAAUCUUCCGCAAUGGACGAAAGUUCUGACCGGACCAACGCCCCGUGAACGAAGAAGGCCUUCUGGUUCGUAAAGUUCUGUUGUUAGGGAAGAACAAGUACCAGAAGUAACUUGCUGGUACCUUGGACGGUACCUAACCAGAGAAAGCCACCGGCUAACUUACGUGCCAGCCAGCCGCGGUAAUACGUAGGUGGCCAAGCGUUUGUCCGGAAUUAUUGGGCGUAAAGCGCGCGCAGGUGGUUUCCUUUAAGUCUGAUGUGAAAGCCCACGGCUCAACCGUGGAGGGUCAUUGGAAACUGGGGAACUUGAUUGCAGAAGAGGAAAGUGGAAUUCCAAGUGUAGCGGUGAAAUGCGUAGAGAUAUGGAGGAACACCAGUGGCGAAGGCGACUUUCUGGUCUGUAACUGACACUGAGGCGCGAAAGCGUGGGGGAGCAAACAGGAUUAGAUACCCUGGUAGUCCACGCCGUAAACGAUGAGUGCUAAGUGUUAGAGGGUUUCCGCCCUUUAGUGCUGCAGCUAACGCAUUAAGCACUCCGCCUGGAGAGUACGGCCGGCAAGGCUGAAACUCAAAGGAAUUGACGGGCGGCCCGCACAAGCGGUGGAGCAUGUGGUUUAAUUGGAUAGCAACGCGAAGAACCUUACCAGGUCUUGACAUCUUCUGACAUACCCUAGAGAUAGGGCUUUCCCCUUCGGGGGACAGAGUGACAGGGUGGUGCAUGGUUGUCGUCAGCUCGUGUCGUGAGAUGUUGGGUUAAGUCCCGCAACGAGCGCAACCCUUGAUCUUUAUGUUGCCAGCAUUCAGUUGGGCACUCUAAGGUGACUGCCGGUGACAAACCGGAGGAAGGGGGGGAUGACGCAUCAAAUGCCUAUCACUGCUCACCUUCAAUGACCUACAGGGUCUCACAUCACGUGGAGCUACCUAAUGGAUGGUACAAAGGGCUGCAAACCUGCGAAGGUAAGCGAAUCCCAUAAAGCCAUUUUCAGUUCGGAUUCCAGGCUGCAAUUCGCCUGCAUGAAUCCGGAAUCGCUAGUAAUCGCGGAUCACCAUGCCGCGGUGAAUACGUUCCCGGUCCUUGUACACACCGCCCGUCCCACCACGAGAGUUUGUAACACCCGAAGUCGGUGAGGUAACCUUCAUGGAGCCAGCCGCC